GAUGAAGAACGCAGCGAAAUGCGAUAAGUAAUGUGAAUUGCAGAAUUCAGUGAAUCAUCGAAUCUUUGGACGCACAUUGCGCCCGCCAGUAUUCUGGCGGGCAUGCCUGUUCGAGCGUCAUUUCAACCAUCAAGCCCUGCUUGCGUUGGGGUCCUGCGGCUGCCCGCAGGCCCUGAAAACCAGUGGCGGGCUCGCUAGUCACACCGAGCGCAGUAAUACAUCUCGCUUUGGGCGUGCGGCGGGUUCUUGCCGUUAAACACCCCCUUUUUACCAAGGUUGACCUCGGAUCAGGUAGGAAUACCCGCUGAACUUAAGCAUAUCAAUAAGCGGAGGA
rnacentral:misc_RNA from 1 species